ACAUGGGCUGUGUGAGCGCCACCGUUUGUUCUAUUUAAGAAAUUGCACCUCACGCUGCUAUUUACUAAAUCCUUAUUAGUAUGAUUGAAUAAGAAGGGAGUACUGCAGUAUCAGGCGGUAUGACGCAAAUUUGAUUACGCUUAUUAUUGUCCUUAGUAACGAAAAGCUGAUACGAAGAUCGUUUUGAUGCUCUGAGACUCACCUAAAACUACACACAAAACACGGGGCACACGGAUUUGAAUCAAGGAUGUCUUGAGCUGCAAACCAGCAGUUUUAAGAACUGUUUGCUAUUUUAUUUUUCUUUUGUAUGUCUUGUUUUUUUCUAAUUGUGGCACUGUGUAAUCUUUGUCUUUUUGUUAUUUAAAUAUUUAUAAUCCAAG